GGGCUAUUGAAUGAUAACAGUGCAGUCUUCAGACACGCCUCCUACCAUUCAGCCGCACAUCGAAUUAGCCGGGUUUGACUCCUGGAAAUCUGGGCCUGACGUCGCUGAUGGAACCACUUAUGCUGCAUGGCUGAACGAGACAGCCAUGCAAUGUGACCACAGAUUGAUAGUCGACUGAGAGAACAGGAGAAGGGGAGACGAGAAGUGGUGCCUCCGAACCAGAGGGGGCACUCCACCAUGCAGCCAUCCCCCUGUUUCUUCCCCAGAGGCCUCCUCCAACCCAGAGGAGCCAAUGGAGUUAAGACGACCCAGGUUCUUUCAGACUAGUGGCAACCUAAGGUUGGUGCAUUUGUUGUGGGGGAAGCCUUACUCCUGACCUCCACACAGCCACUGUCAGCCAGAGGCCCAGGAGUUCCCCUUCACGCACUGCACUGCACUGUGUGCUGGGCUGUAGGUAGCUGGGAGCUGUGGUGGGGAAUAUGUUCACCCCUAACCAGCAAUAUUUACUCAAAGUAUUAAAAGUUCUCACUGUGCAGUGAAAUGUUCCCUGUCAGUAUUUUACUACUAUGCAUGCUGCACUGAUGUGUAUGUUGCAUUUAACUGCUGCAGAUAAAAAAGGCUGUGCUAAACUCUUC